GGGGAAGGCAUCUUCUUGUUUUUAAAAGACCUAGCAAUAGGUAUGCUUAGGGAGGAGCUUGCGUCACAUUAGUUAGUUGGUGGGGUAAAGGCCUACCAAGACUAUGAUGUGUAGCCGGGCUGAGAGGUUGAACGGCCACAUUGGGACUGAGACACGGCCCAAACUCCUACGGGAGGCAGCAGUAGGGAAUUUUCGGCAAUGGAGGAAACUCUGACCGAGCAACGCCGCGUGAACGAUGAAGUAUUUCGGUACGUAAAGUUCUUUUAUUAGGGAAGAAUAAAUGAUGGAAAAAUCAUUCUGACGGUACCUAAUGAAUAAGCCCCGGCUAACUAUGUGCCAGCAGCCGCGGUAAUACAUAGGGGGCAAGCGUUAUCCGGAAUUAUUGGGCGUAAAGGGUGCGUAGGCGGUUAAAUAAGUUUAUGGUCUAAGUGCAAUGCUCAACAUUGUGAUGCUAUAAAAACUGUUUAGCUAGAGUAAGAUAGAGGCAAGUGGAAUUCCAUGUGUAGUGGUAAAAUGCGUAAAUAUAUGGACGAACACCAAUACCCAAGGCGGCUUGCUGGGUCUUUACUCACGCUGAGGCACGAAAGCGUGGGGAGCAAACAGGAUUAGAUACCCUGGUAGUCCACGCCGUAAACGAUGAGUACUAAACGUUGGGUAAAACCAGUGUUGAAGUUAACACAUUAAGUACUCCGCCUGAGUAGUACGUACGCAAGUAUGAAACUUAAAGGAAUUGACGGGACUCCGCACAAGCGGUGGAUCAUGUUGUUUAAUUUGAAGGUACCCGAAAAACCUCACCAGGUCUUGACAUGCUUCUGCAAAGCUGUAGAAACACAGUGGAGGUUAUCAGUUGCACAGGUGGUGCAUGGUUGUCGUCAGCUCGUGUCGUGAGAUGUUGGGUUAAGUCCCGCAACGAGCGCAACCCUUAUUGUUAGUUACCAGCACGUAAUGGUGGGGACUUUAGCAAGACUGCCAGUGAUAAAUUGGAGGAAGGUGGGGACGACGUCAAAUCAUCAUGCCCCUUAUGACCUGGGCUACAAACGUGAUACAAUGGCUGUUACAAAGGGUAGCUGAAGCGCAAGUUUUUGGCGAAUCUCAAAAAAACAGUCUCAGUUCGGAUUGAAGUCUGCAACUCGACUUCAUGAAGUUGGAAUCGCUAGUAAUCGCGAAUCAGCAAGGUCCGGCU
rnacentral:rRNA from 1 species